GAUCUCAUCUCGAGAUCCUUAAUUACAUCCACAAAGACCCUAUUUCCAAAUAAGGUCACAUUCACAGAUUCUGGGUAGACAUAUCUUUUGGAGGACCACCAUUCAACCCGCUACAUGCAAGAUCUGCCUGACACUAGAGACAGCCAGCAUUUGCUGAGUGCCUACUGUGUGCCAAGCACUCAAUGCGCACAUCAGCCCAUGAGGGAGGGACUGCGCUGAUCAUUCUCAGAAGGCGAGGACGCAACUGAAGGAGCUUGCCGAAGGCCCUACCACCUGGCGAGGAAUGAUGGAACCAGGACUCAGACCCAGAGUGACUGUGUUAGGGUUUGGACUUCUGAACCACUCCUCCCUGCUUCCUGCCACAAAGCCUGGGCCCUUAUCCCUGGGCCCUGCUGGGCAGGCCGGCUGCCCAGGGCACCAGUCUGCCCCAUCCCUGAGGAAGCAGGAAUGAGUCAGAAAGUGGGUGGGACUGUUAAAUCCCUCUCCUUAGUUGGCCCUGGCUCCCACAGCAGGAGCUUUACCAUUGGUAAAAUACUCAAGUCCUUCCAGACAGUGUAGCUCCUGACCCCACCUAGUUGUGGGCCUGGGAAGGGCAGCUGCUUGUGCUGGUAGGUCUGUCUGCCAGAGGAGCCUCCCCAGCCUAGAGGGAGCAGGCCCUGAGGAGCAUCUCAGAGGGAAGGUGGCGCGCUGGGAGCUUGUCUCCCGGGAGCACACCUGGCAGACCCCUCUCCCACGGCCACUCAGGCAUGAGCAUGUCAUGCUGUUUCCAAACAGAUCAUCAGCCCAGUUCCCAAGGCAGUGCUGUCGCGUGGGUGUGAUCACCCCCCUAUUUGCAGUCAGGGUUUUCAUUGCUGGCUUCCACACUCUGCAGAAUGGAUUUCACCUGUUGGAUGAGCCCCACCCAUCUCACUUCAUCUCACCUCACAGGUCACCCUGGAGCUUUAAUCCAGUGGUUCUCAAAGUGUGGGCCCUGGGCCAGCAGCAUCAGCAGCAUCAGGAAACCUGCACUCCAGACCUACCGAAUCAGAGACUCUGGGGUUGGGCCCAGCAGUCAGGGUGAUUCUGAUGUCCUUCUAACGUGGGGCUCUGCCUGGUUCACAGUAACCGCUCUGAGCCAGCGGUUCUCAAACUCAGCUGCACGCUGGAAUCACCUGAGGGCUCUAAAAAUACAGAUGCUCAGGCCACACCCAGACCAGCUGAAUCAGACUCUCGGGGGAUGGACAUCAGCAGCUUCCACAGCUCCUGGGUGAUGCCCGUGUGCAGCCAGGACAGACGCCCAUGCUCUAGGCCUCACUGUUACUUCUGUAAGAUGAUAACAGCUGAGCUACCCCAAGGCAUCUUAUCAGGAUCAUUUCCCUUCUGUGACCACGAGCUUGAACCCUGGAUAAAGGGGAGAGGGUUGGUUCUCAAGCUCGGACAGCAUAAACAAAUUUUAUUAUAACAGCAGCAAGAGAUAUGUGCAUUAAAGAAAAGGGAGCUCCUUCGUGCCUCCUCCUCUAUUUGGGUGAAAGGGCAUAACCUGCCACUUUCCACUCCGGCUUUCUCUUCGGUGGGGGUGGCGGUGGGGAACUCCACCUCAGGAUGGGGUCUGAUUUGCAGCCGGUCAGUCGGGGCUGACCCCCCGGGUCUGAGGCCUUGUCUGCCCCCGCCCUGGCUUGCCCACGCCUCUCUGUUUCUCUGGCAGCUCUGUGUGGUUUCUGUAUUGCUUCUGGAGACCACCCUGUUCAUGGCUCUGUUCUGCAGGAUGGGGACUGGCAGAGAAGGGGGGUGCCUGACCGCUACUCACGGAAGUGCCUUGACGUCCAUGUGUCUCAGCUCAUCCCCACGUGACCCCACAAGGUUCUCCACGCUGACUUUCUGAAAAAAGAGAAUGCUAUUUCUCACUACACGUUGGCGUUCCAGACAUCAAACGCGUGGUCCAACGAGGACAGGAGGACAUACGCUACCGCUUCCCAAGGGAGAGCACCUCGCCCUCCUUCUCCGAGGGAGGAACAGGCGUAGGACCUCCUCGACUGUGCUGGUGGAGAUUACGAUGGGAACACUGCCUUCAGCCAAGAUGAAAUAAGCACCUACUCUGUGCUGUGCUGCGGGCCACCUGCUCCACCCGGUGGACUAGGACCUCACUGUCCCCAACUUCAGUGACUGUAUCGUGCCCUGGGUACAUGCGCAUUCCUCUCACAAACAUUUGCUGAACAUCUACGUAUAUGACCCUGCAUCACUCAGCAAAUAUUCGUAGAGUACCUAUUAUGUGCCAGGAACCAUCCCAGGCUCUGGGAAUCCAGCGGAAAGCAGUCCCUGGCCUCCUAGAGCUGCUCGUUCUAGUAGAGGGAGAAAAACAGUGAGCCAACAAGAGGAGGAGAUGAUAGGCAGGGGCACCAGCACUGAAGGAAGCAAAACAAGAGAGCCCUCCGGCCAGGCAGACAACAGCGUCUGGAGGGGCCGGUGCCCCUGGGGUCAGCAGGGCUGCCCUGGGAGGAGGCCUCCCCGCUGAGACCCAUACCCCAUGCAGGAACCACCAGGUGAGGACCUGAGAGCAGGAGGCCAGGGGCACAGCAAGUGCAAGGGUCCCCAAAUAGGCAACAUCCGCCACCGGUAUUGUCACCAGCCGGCUCUCUGGGGACCAGAGACUGGUCACUGCAGGGAGGUGGGAGGAGGGUGGGCAGGCUGGAGAAGCUGUGAGGAGGGCCAUGUGCAGGCCACGGAAAGGGGCUGGAUUUGGUUCCAGGAGCAAUGGGAGUCCCCGGAGGUCUUGACACAACCUGGUCGACGUUUGUGAAGAAGGUCCUCUGACGGCCGGCGAGGUUGGCGGUGGAGUCCGCCUCUUCCCGUGAGAGAAGCCAAGGUGGAGCCGGCUGCCCUGCAAACCUCUUGUCCACUUCAGGCCCGUUGAAACCACCAACUCAUCAAUUGAGCCCGCGCAGAUGUCUGAUAGGCGACCUUUUGACGUCAAGAGGCUAAAACCUCCACCCUCAGAUCGUGCUAGCGCCGCCAUUUUGUGAGCAUGGGUCCCAUGACGAGGCGUGGAGUCGGACUACUUGCGCAGAUCGUCAAUUACCUCACCUCCAAUCACCUCUCUCCACGUUUCAGACCACCUUGCCCCUACCCCAUAAAUAUCCCUGAGUGCCUAUUUUCGAGGAAGCGGGUUUGAGGCUCAUGCUCUCGCUUCGUCGCAUGGCUGCCUUGUGAGUAAACCCUGUGUCUGCUGCAAUCUCGUCAUCUCGGUGUUGACUUUCUGGGCGGUGGGCAAAAACGAACCUGGUUCGGCAACAAUUGCGUCGGAUUACUUUAGAAGCAGAAUCUGCAGCUGGAAAUGAGAGAAUUGGGCCAACUGCUGGCCUGUGGGUUCUUCCUCCCUCUCCUUCCUGUCCAGAUCCCAGACUCCCAGCCCUGAUUUUGCAGCAUUUGAGUGUUUUUUGGGUGUCAUGAAAAUCUCUCCAGGAAAAGGCCUUUGAAUUCAUUUUCCUUACAUCUGGUUUUUGUGCUAAGCCUGGUGGGAAGGUUGGCUUCAUGGUUACACCCCUGUGGCAGAAAUAGGGUGGAGGAGGGAGCUGCAUUUCUUCAUUCAAUCAAGUAUUAUUUUAAAGUUUUUUAUUGGUGUCUAACACAAAUAAAGGAUGCAAAUCUUAAGUGUA